rnacentral:rRNA from 1 species
UACGUAGGUGGCAAGCGUUGUUCGGAAUUAUUGGGCGUAAAGGGCGCGUAGGCGGUCUGUUGCGUCGGCUGUGAAAACCCGGGGCUCAACUCCGGGCCUGCAGCCGAUACGGGCAGACUAGAGUUCGGCAGGGGAGACUGGAAUUCCUGGUGUAGCGGUGAAAUGCGCAGAUAUCAGGAGGAACACCGGUGGCGAAGGCGGGUCUCUGGGCCGAUACUGACGCUGAGGAGCGAAAGCGUGGGGAGCGAACAGG